AUGAUGAUGUCACUGACUCCACUGCUGACCAUCCUGGGGCUCCUGGUUCAGGGUUCCAUGGCUGAAAUCAUCCUGACUCAGACUCCAGGAGCUCAAUCUGUCACUUUGGGACAGACUGUCUCCAUCAGAUGUAAAGCCAGUUCAGGUGUUUCAAAUGAUUUACAGUGGUACAUUCAAAAGCCUAGAGAAGCGCCUAAGAUCCUUAUUUACAAUGCCAAUUCACGCUGGUCUGGAGUUUCUGAACGUUUCAGUGGGAGUCAAUCUGGAACUGAUUUCACUCUCACCAUCAGUAGAGUUCAGGCUGAAGAUGCAGGAGUUUAUUACUGUCAGCAGGAUAAUAGCUUUCCGUUCACACAGUGA